GGAGAGGUGCCCGAGUGGCUGAAGGGACACGACUGGAAAUCGUGUAGGCGGGCUUAAACCCGCCUCGCGGGUUCGAAUCCCGCCCUCUCCGCCA
rnacentral:tRNA from 1 species